rnacentral:rRNA from 1 species
ACACCGGCGGCCCGAGUGGUGAUCGUGAUUAUUGGGUCUAAAGGGUCCGUAGCCGGUUUGGUCAGUCCUCCGGGAAAUCUGAUAGCUCAAAUAUUAGGCUUUCGGGGGAUACCGCCAGACUUGGAACCGGGAGAGGUAAGAGGUACUACAGGGGUAGGAGUGAAAUCUUGUAAUCCCUGUGGGACCACCUGUGGCGAAGGCGUCUUACCAGAACGGGUUCGACGGUGAGGGACGAAAGCUGGGGGCACGAACCGGAUUAGAUACCCGGGUAGUCCCAGCCGUAAACGAUGCUCGCUAGGUGUCAGGCAUGGCGCGACCGUGUCUGGUGCCGCAGGGAAGCCGCGAAGCGAGCCACCUGGGAAGUACGGCCGCAAGGCUGAAACUUAAAGGAAUUGACGGGG